AGAGAGAGAGAGAGAGAGAGAGACAGACAGACAGACAGACAGACAGACAGACAGACAGACAGACAGACACUUGGAGGAUUGAUGUUGAUGUGCUUGGGGGUAAAUUUCCUGGGCUCUGGCAUUCCUGAUGUCUUUCUUCAUGCUAUCCUAACCGUGUCAGUUAGCAUAGCUGCAGGUUCCAGAGAUUGGAUCCAGGGUGAUCCAUGCAUCUGUCUUAGAGUCCUCCUUGUUACCUAGCUUCUCUGGAGCAGUGCAUUGUAGCCUGGCUAUCCUUUGCUUUACAUCUAAUAUGCACUUAUGAGUGGGUAUACAUCAUUUUUGUCUUUCUGUAUGACUCCCAGAGACAUACAUACACAAACAGCUCACAGACAUCUCAGGAAACAAUGAACUUCCCAGUCAGACACUUCCUACUCACACACAUACAAAAAGAGCACACAGAAACACACUCGGACAUAUACCAAAACAUCCUUAGAGUUGUCAAUCACUUGGAACUAAACUCACAUAGCCCCUGCAGAAGAACAGAGACAUAAUGAGUAGCACGCACAAUCCCUGGAACAUGCAGCUCUGCUAACUGACAUGGUAAGGGGGCUUUGUAGAUAUGGUUAAGUAUCCUGAGGGGAAAAUCCUAGAAUAUCUGGGUGGUCCAACAUAAUCCGAAGUGUCACUAUAUGAGGGAAGCAUGAAAGCAAGGAUCAGAGAAGUCACAUAGUGAUGAAAGCAGAACAAGAGAAGGUAACAUGUCAGAGAGCUAGAGACAGAAAUAAAUGGGUACGGAGAGAUGGAGACAAGAGGAGGGUGCUAAAGGAGAGAAGUUAGUGGAUGAUGAAAUGUGGCUGUCUUCAAAGGUGGAGGAGGAAGGAGCAGUAAGGCACAGAACAUGGGCCUCCUCCUGGGGUGGAAUGUUCAAGUUGACUUGAAAAAGCGAAAUUACAGUUUUUCAUACCUAUAUCCACACAAGACCAUUUGAUGUAUUUGGUUUUCAAACUUAUUUUUGAUGGAUGAGACUGGGUCUUGCUAUGUUGCCAAGUCUGGCCUCAAAUUCCUGAGCUCAAGUAAUCUCACUGCCUACACUUUAAUUUCAAUCAUACUUACUAAAACUUGUCCGUCUUCUGAAGAAAUAUAAAUUUGUGUUGUUUUACAACAAAAAAAGUGAUGGUUUGUUUCUGCAUACACACCAUUCUAGGUUAAGGUAUGUCUGUCUGACUCCUGGUACAUAUCCCUGGUUGGGAGCUCCAUGAUAUGCAUGUGUCUGAUGAUGGCAAUCUCUCACCUCUAGGUUGGAAUAUGAAGUGAUAAAUGAACUCUCCGACCUCCCAAUACAGAAUAUUGGGUCUAGGAAUUGUUUCUCGUAUUCCUGGCCCCAGAUGUCUCUAACAAAUAAAAAAAAUGUAGAAACAUCAGAUACUUCAUAUACCAGAUUAGGAAACCAAGAGAGACAUGAAGUGACUGCUGCUGAGCAGUAGGGCUGGGAUCAAUCUGGGUCAGGCUGGCAGGCAGCCUCCAAGCUCUACUGUACUCCUACCGGCUCUACUGUACUUACUGCCUUGAAGUGUUUGAGAGUACUAGAGGGAUCCUCAGGUCUGAGGAUACUAGAAGGCCUGGAUCUAAGCAGGUAGACCACGGCAAGACAGAAGUCAAGAAACAAUAUGGAGAGAAUGGAUGAAAGAGGGCAAGGUAAGGAAGAGGUGAGAGGACUCCUGGAAGGAGCAAGGGCACUACACCCAAGAGACUGAGCCUUCUAUGCGGUGUAGGUGCUGCUUCCUAGAAGAUCCUGUGUAUAUAGAGGGCUUUUCCUCUACCUUGAGCAAUACAAUUAUACUGACUGGAUUCCUGUUUGGGAUCUUCUAGAAAGAUGCCUAUAUUCCAAACUAUCCAAAUCACUCUGGGGUGAAGACACUUCUGGAGUAUGGAGAGCUCAAGCUUCCUCCAGGUCUUAAGAGUGGAAGCUCACAGAGUAGUGGUGGUGUACACCUUUAAUCCCAGCACUCGGGAGGCAGAGGCAGGCUAGGUUGAGGCCAGCCAGAGAUACACAGAGAAACCCUGUCUCAAAAAAUCAAAAGAGAAAAAAGAGCAAAAGCCUCUCCUCGUCAUCAGCAUUGCUGCUACAAGUGGACACCCUCAGAUGUGCCCUCUGGCCAGCUACUGUUACUUUCCAAACAGUACCUGAUAAAUACACAUUUAGACAGUCAAGAUCCAGGGAAGCUAAAUCUAUCAAGCAGUGAGAUUUGUCUACACACAGAAUUUGCUGCGCAAUGGUGGCACACGCCUUUAAUCCCAGCACUCGGGAGGCAGAGGCAGGUGGAUCUCUGUGAGUUUAAGGACAGCCUGGUCUAUAGAGUGAGUUCCAGGACAGCUAAAGCUAUACAGAGAAACCCUGUCUCAAAAGAAAGAAGCUGACCAACACUAAAUGUCUGCCAUGUCUUACUUUAAGAUGUGUUACUUUAUGCUAGUUGCUCACCCAGACCCUUUUAAAGCACAAAAUUAAAGCACACCCCCCCCAAACCUCCCUGACACAGAGGUAAGACUAAUGAGUCAUUUCCAGCCAAUAGAUGAUUACUUCCAGGCCUGAAUCAUUAGUACCUCCCUCUCCAGUCCCUACUACAAAAUGUUGACGAUCUGACAGUGACCUGAAGGCCCUAAGAUACAAGACAGGCACAAAAGGGGAAUAAAAUUCUAGGGGGUGGGAGUCAGUAUUUGAACAAGAUAGCCACCAAAACACCCAUACUAGAGUGUUCACAAGCCAGGCAAACCUCGUAGACAAGGCAUGGUGACACAUGUUCGUAAUCCUAGCACUGGGAGGGAGAAGUAGGAUGAUUGUGACCUCAAAGACAACCUGUGCUAUAGAGGGAGACUCUGCCUCAAAACAAUGUAGACCAACUCCUAAUGCAUUAAGCCACAAAGAUCUGGGGAUUAUUGAUUUUAAAAAAGCUAGCCUGCGGGCUGGACCGAUAGCCUCCAAAACAAUAAACCAAAAAAAAAAAAAAAAAGCUAGCCUGCAUCAUGUGCCAUCCAGCUUUUCCCCAGGGUAACCUAAAAGUCUAGUUCAGUGGUUCUCAACCAUUGUACGGCAGCUAACUUUUAAUAGCAUUCCUCAUGCUGUGGUGACCCCUACCCAUAAAAUUAUUUUCACUGCUACUUUAAGUGUCAUCCUGCCAAACCUUCAUCCAAGAUGAGCCUACAUGCUAAUUUAGAUUUACUGUUUGUGAUACAAUGACCCUUACCACAAAAUGAAAGAACUUGCCUUUUCAGGUGAUGCAACCCUAUGCCCAGACCACAUACAUAGCUUUGGAAAGGUUUGUUGCCUGAAGCUCGGGUCCCACUUUCUUUACUGUAUGCCCUUAUAAAGUCAAUUGUGGUGA